UUAACUGAAGAGUUUGAUCAUGGCUCAGAUUGAACGCUGGCGGCAGGCCUAACACAUGCAAGUCGAGCGGUAGCACAGAGAGCUUGCUCUCGGGUGACGAGCGGCGGACGGGUGAGUAAUGUCUGGGAAACUGCCUGAUGGAGGGGGAUAACUACUGGAAACGGUAGCUAAUACCGCAUAAUGUCGCAAGACCAAAGUGGGGGACCUUCGGGCCUCAUGCCAUCAGAUGUGCCCAGAUGGGAUUAGCUAGUAGGUGGGGUAACGGCUCACCUAGGCGACGAUCCCUAGCUGGUCUGAGAGGAUGACCAGCCACACUGGAACUGAGACACGGUCCAGACUCCUACGGGAGGCAGCAGUGGGGAAUAUUGCACAAUGGGCGCAAGCCUGAUGCAGCCAUGCCGCGUGUGUGAAGAAGGCCUUCGGGUUGUAAAGCACUUUCAGCGGGGAGGAAGGCGUUAAGGUUAAUAACCUUGGCGAUUGACGUUACCCGCAGAAGAAGCACCGGCUAACUCCGUGCCAGCAGCCGCGGUAAUACGGAGGGUGCAAGCGUUAAUCGGAAUUACUGGGCGUAAAGCGCACGCAGGCGGUCUGUCAAGUCGGAUGUGAAAUCCCCGGGCUCAACCUGGGAACUGCAUUCGAAACUGGCAGGCUAGAGUCUUGUAGAGGGGGGUAGAAUUCCAGGUGUAGCGGUGAAAUGCGUAGAGAUCUGGAGGAAUACCGGUGGCGAAGGCGGCCCCCUGGACAAAGACUGACGCUCAGGUGCGAAAGCGUGGGGAGCAAACAGGAUUAGAUACCCUGGUAGUCCACGCCGUAAACGAUGUCGAUUUGGAGGUUGUGCCCUUGAGGCGUGGCUUCCGGAGCUAACGCGUUAAAUCGACCGCCUGGGGAGUACGGCCGCAAGGUUAAAACUCAAAUGAAUUGACGGGGGCCCGCACAAGCGGUGGAGCAUGUGGUUUAAUUCGAUGCAACGCGAAGAACCU
rnacentral:rRNA from 1 species